rnacentral:rRNA from 1 species
UAGGGAAUCUUCCACAAUGGACGCAAGUCUGAUGGAGCAACGCCGCGUGAGUGAAGAAGGUUUUCGGAUCGUAAAGCUCUGUUGUUGGUGAAGAAGGAUAGAGGCAGUAACUGGUCUUUAUUUGACGGUAAUCAACCAGAAAGUCACGGCUAACUACGUGCCAGCAGCCGCGGUAAUACGUAGGUGGCAAGCGUUGUCCGGAUUUAUUGGGCGUAAAGCGAGCGCAGGCGGAAUGAUAAGUCUGAUGUGAAAGCCCACGGCUCAACCGUGGAACUGCAUCGGAAACUGUCAUUCUUGAGUGCAGAAGAGGAGAGUGGAAUUCCAUGUGUAACGGUGGAAUGCGUAGAUAUAUGGAAGAACACCAGUGGCGAAGGCGGCUCUCUGGUCUGCAACUGACGCUGAGGCUCGAAAGCAUGGGUAGCGAACAGG